rnacentral:rRNA from 1 species
GGACCCGCACAAGUAGUGGAGCAUGUGGUUUAAUUCGAAGAUACGCGCAGAACCUUACCAACACUUGACAUGUUCGUCGCGACUCUAAGAGAUUAGAGUUUUCGGUUCGGCCGGACGAAACACAGGUGCUGCAUGGCUGUCGUCAGCUCGUGUCGUGAGAUGUUGGGUUAAGUCCCGCAACGAGCGCAACCCUCACUUUUAGUUGCCAUCAUUAAGUUGGGCACUCUGAAAGAACUGCCAGUGAUAAGCUGGAGGAAGGUGGGGAUGACGUCAAGUCCUCAUGGCCCUUACGUGUUGGGCUACACACGUGCUACAAUGGUAUCUACAACAGGAAGCAAGACUGCGAAGUUAAGCUAAACUCAAAAACCUGCCUCAGUUCGGAUUGCACUCUGCAACUCGAGUGCAUGAAGCUGGAAUCGCUAGUAAUCG